AGGGUUCGAUUCUGGCUCAGGAUGAACGCUGCAGGCGUGCUUACACAUGCAAAGUCGAACGGGAUCCAUCAGGCUUUGCUUGGUGGUGAGAGUGCNGAACGGGUGAGUAAUGCGUGACCGACCUGCCCCAUACACCGGAAUAGCUCCUGAAAACGGGUGGUAAUGCCCGAUGCUCCAGUGNAUCGCAUGGUCUUCUGGGAAAGCUUUCGCGGUAUGGGAUGGGGUCGCGUCCUAUCAGCUUGACGGCGGGGUAACGGCCCACCGUGGCUUCGACGGGUAGCCGGCCUGAGAGGGCGACCGGCCACAUUGGGACUGAGAUACGGCCCAGACUCCUACGGGAGGCAGCAGUGGGGAAUAUUGCACAAUGGGCGCAAGCCUGAUGCAGCGACGCCGCGUGAGGGAUGGAGGCCUUCGGGUUGUAAACCUCUUUUAUCGGGGAGCAAGCGAGAGUGAGUUUACCCGUUGAAUAAGCACCGGCUAACUACGUGCCAGCAGCCGCGGUAAUACGUAGGGUGCAAGCGUUAUCCGGAAUUAUUGGGCGUAAAGGGCUCGUAGGCGGUUCGUCGCGUCCGGUGUGAAAGUCCAUCGCUUAACGGUGGAUCCGCGCCGGGUACGGGCGGGCUUGAGUGCGGUAGGGGAGACUGGAAUUCCCGGUGUAACGGUGGAAUGUGUAGAUAUCGGGAAGAACACCAAUGGCGAAGGCAGGUCUCUGGGCCGUUACUGACGCUGAGGAGCGAAAGCGUGGGGAGCGAACAGGAUUAGAUACCCUGGUAGUCCACGCCGUAAACGGUGGAUGCUGGAUGUGGGGCCCGUUCCACGGGUUCCGUGUCGGAGCUAACGCGUUAAGCAUCCCGCCUGGGGAGUACGGCCGCAAGGCUAAAACUCAAAGAAAUUGACGGGGGCCCGCACAAGCG
rnacentral:rRNA from 1 species